UACGGGGGGGGCAAGCGUUGUUCGGAAUUACUGGGCGUAAAGGGUUCGUAGGUGGCCAACUAAGUCAGACGUGAAAUCCCUCAGCUUAACUGGGGAACUGCGUCUGAGACUGGAUGGCUUGAGUGCAGGAGAGGAACGCGGAAUUCCAGGUGUAGCGGUGAAAUGCGUAGAUAUCUGGAGGAACACCAAUGGCGAAGGCAGCUCGCUGGGACGUGACUGACGCUGAGACGCGAAAGCGUGGGGAGCAAACAGG
rnacentral:rRNA from 1 species